CCUACGGGAGGCAGCAGUGGGGGAUAUUGCACAAUGGGGGGAACCCUGAUGCAGCGACGCCGCGUGGGUGAAGGAGUAUUUCGGUGUGUAAAGCCCUAUCAGCAGGGAAGAACAAUGACGGUACCGGACUAAGAAGCACCGGCUAAAUACGUGCCAGCAGCCGCGGUAAUACGUAGGGUGCAAGCGUUAUCCGGAUUUACUGGGUGUAAAGGGAGCGCAGGCGGCGCGGUAAGCCGGGUGUGAAAGCCCGCGGCCCAACCCCGGGACUGCCUUGGGAACUGGCGGGCUGGAGUGCCGGAGGGGUAGGCGGAAUUCCUGGUGUAGCGGUGAAAUGCGUAGAUAUUAGGAGGAACACCAGUGGCGAAGGCGGCCUGCUGGACGGUGACUGACGCUGAGGCCCGAAAGCGUGGGGAGCAAACAGGAUUAGAUACCCCUGUAGUC
rnacentral:rRNA from 1 species